CCUACGGGGGGCAGCAGUGGGGAAUAUUGCACAAUGGGGGAAACCCUGAUGCAGCAACGCCGCGUGAGUGAAGAAGGUUUUCGGAUUGUAAAGCUCUGUUAGCAGGGAAGAGGAAGGACGGUACCUGCAGAGGAAGCCACGGCUAACUACGUGCCAGCAGCCGCGGUAAUACGUAGGGGGCAAGCGUUAUCCGGAUUUACUGGGUGUAAAGGGAGCGUAGACGGUGCAGCAAGUCUGAUGUGAAAGGUCGGGGCCCAACCCCGGGACUGCAUUGGAAACUGUUGAACUGGAGUACAGGAGAGGUAAGCGGAAUUCCUAGUGUAGCGGUGAAAUGCGUAGAUAUUAGGAGGAACACCAGUGGCGAAGGCGGCUUACUGGACUGUAACUGACGUUGAGGCUCGAAAGCGUGGGGAGCAAACAGGAUUAGAUAUCCUAGUAGUC
rnacentral:rRNA from 1 species